CCCUUAGAUGUUCUGGGCUGCACGCGCGCUACACCGAUGCACUCAACGAGUUUACGACCUUGCCCGAUAGGGUUGGGUAAUCUUUUUAAAAUGCAUCGUGAUGGGGAUAGAUUAUUGCAAUUAUUAAUCUUCAACGAGGAAUUCCUAGUAAGCGCGAGUCAUCAGCUCGUGCUGAUUACGUCCCUGCCCUUUGUACACACCGCCCGUCGCUCCUACCGAUUGAGUGCUCAGGUGAAUAAUUCGGACUGCAGCAAUGUUUGGAUCCCGAACGUUGCAGCGGAAAGUUUAGUGAACCUUAUCACUUAGAGGGAGGAGAAGUCGUAACA
rnacentral:rRNA from 1 species